GUGAGAUGGAAUCAGCGUUUGGACAUGUAAUUUUACGUUGAUUUCAUCUCAUGA
rnacentral:pre_miRNA from 1 species